ensembl:antisense Banf2os barrier to autointegration factor 2, opposite strand
AGCCGGUUGCCCCAGUGAACAGCAGGUGCAGAGGAACCAGGAAGACCGGUCACAUUUUUGGCUUCUGAGUUCCUGAAAAGGCUCCGGUGAAUCAACAGUUAAUGCUUUCUUCUUUAAAAAGAAAAUGUGAAAAUGCCCAAAGGAAGGGCUCUCCAUUUCUCCUCGGGUGUGCCUAAAGGGACAUCACCUCCCCUUAGUUUCAAGACCUCGAAUCAGACAACACGGGCUCCUACCCACCAGUCACCGGCCAGGAGAGAGAUCAGCACAGGGUGGUGAGCUCAGCCUCCCUGAAGCUCAGCCAAUGACAGCUUCCUGACAGGCGAAGAGAAGAGCAGAAGCUGGGAAGUCAAACAACAGCAUCGUCUAACGGUCCAGCACAGACAAGGCUCCUUUCAAAGCUUGUGCAGAGACGACCUGGAGGUUUGUUGAAGACAUCAGUCCUGACCCCACAGGCCUGGGAUGGACAUUUGGUCCUAUGUUUUUGACAAACUCCACAGAGAGGGCAGGAUGGCUGGCCAAACAGGUACAUCGAGCAAAUCACCACACAAUAUCAUGUAUUCCUUUUAUGUUAUUACGUAAAAUUUGACAUCUUGGCCUGGUGAGAUGGCUCAGAGGGGCGAAAGACACUUACCACCAAGCCUGAUGGCCUAAGUGCCUUCUACAUAGCAGGAGGAAAGGAGUGACCUCUGUGACUUCUUCGCUGGCCUCCACAUGUGCUUUUGUGACGUGUAUGCCCCAACCUCAGUGUAAUAAACAGUGUUUUUAAACUUG